GACGAACCGUGCGAACGUUGUUCGGAUUCACUGGGCUUAAAGGGUGCGUAGGCUGCGCAGCAAGUUGGGUGUGAAAUCCCUCGGCUUAACCGAGGAACUGCGCCCAAAACUGCUGUGCUCGAGGGAGAUAGAGGUGAGCGGAACUUAGGGUGGAGCGGUGAAAUGCGUUGAUAUCCUAAGGAACACCGGUGGCGAAAGCGGCUCACUGGAUCUCUUCUGACGCUGAGGCACGAAAGCUAGGGUAGCGAACGGG
rnacentral:rRNA from 1 species